rnacentral:rRNA from 1 species
GACAGAGGAUGCAAGCGUUAUCCGGAAUUAUUGGGCGUAAAGGGCGCGUAGGCGGAUAGUUAAGUCCGGUGUGAAAGAUCAGGGCUCAACCCUGAGAGUGCAUCGGAAACUGGUUAUCUUGAGGACAGGAGAGGAAAGUGGAAUUCCUAGUGUAGCGGUGAAAUGCGUAGAUAUUAGGAGGAACACCAGUGGCGAAGGCGACUUUCUGGACUGUAACUGACGCUGAGGCGCGAAAGCGUGGGGAGCAAACAGG